AGAAAAAUUCAUCUCCUAUGCUGCCUUUUUGCAACUUUCAUAUUUGCUGAAAGAUGUGUUCUAUCAACACUUGAGAGAAAAAUGAGAAAGAUGAAGUCAUGAGAUCCAGAAAGCAGAUCAUAUACAGGAGUGAGAAUCAAGAUAACGUGAAGGGAACAGAGACACGCACACACUCAUGAACUCAACCCAGGAAUUGCCAAAAUGUGACAACGUGACGCAAAUACAUGAGGCGAGCACAUGUUGGAAGAACUGGUGCCAAUAGACUUGCUUGACCCAGGGUUGCCAGAAACCUUCAACUGAUUUUUAAAAACGCCGCAUCUGAGAAGCACGAUGAAGUGAAGUGGAGUAAAAUGAAGCCUGUGCCCCCCAGAAGCCAGGAAAAAACACGCUUCAGGAAAGAGGGAGAGGUCGCCUAUGUCAAAAACUGCCAGAGGUCAAGAGAAAGGACUGGAAAUUGAUGACUGAACUGAGGAGCGUGAAGGUCACUGGUGACCUCAACAUGAGUUUUUUCAGGAGAAUGUUUGGGGCAAAUACUUAAGUUUAAGUGGAUUCGAGGGAGGACAGGAAGGGAGGAGCUGACAGUGUGACAGACAACUCUUCCAAAUUAUGCUUUCUUGCUACCCCUUGGCUGUUCAGGGUACAUCCAGGCUGCUUCCUAUCCUUGUCCUUCUCUUUGAUUUUCCAUUUUCUCUCUUCUCUCCUGCCACCCUCCACCCCCCAAAAACCUGCCUGUUCCACUUAUCAUUCCUUUAAGCCCUAUCUUCUUUAAGGAAAAAAUAUCUAAUAAACUGAUAGGCACCAAGAUAUUAAGAGUUGAUUGAUGCCAGUUAACCAUCAAUACUGUUCAGACCCCAAGACCCUCGCUACCCUUGGAUGACGAUAAAAGACGAAGAGGUCUCGGAAGGGCGGGGGAAAUGUUUCUGCAGGCUGAUGGAAGGCUACAGAAAAGAAGAGGCGUGGAGAAAAUGGGCACACUCAAAAGAGACCAAGUCGGGCAGUGAAAAGAAAAGGUGGGGCCAUGCUAUAAACAGCGGGCAGCGCUCAUUACCCACGUGCAGGGACACUACAGUACCGGAUACUGUACUGUAGUGGGACACCACAUGCAGGGACACUGGACCUGCUUGCACCAGUGACAACCAUCUUUGAAAAAAACCCUAGAGUUUUAAAAUUAGAAACUAGAGUUCUGGCAUGGUGCUUUUCCAGUAAUUUUGUAAAAAUAUGUUAGUUAAUUAUGAGACAACUCCAUAUUAAUCAAAGAGCCCUGGCCCAGGAAAGAAAAAAAUGAGCUGUGUCAGAACCAGCUGCUCAACCACAGGCAAGUCUCCAUGCUUCUCUGUGGCUCAGUAUCCCUGUUUAUAGGGGUUGGAACGAAUAACUAAGCUUCCUCCCUUCUCUAAAAACGGGUGUCGAUUCAACGUAAGAUUGGUUUUCUACUGCCAGUUACGGUGUUUCUAAUGGUACUUGAUUCUCGCCCUACUAAAAGCCACUAAAGGGAAGAAAAACAUUUUUUAUAUUAAAAAUGUAAA